AUUGAACGCUGGCGGCAGGCCUAACACAUGCCAGUCGAGCGGAUGAAGGGAGCUUGCUCCUGGAUUCAGCGGCGGACGGGUGAGUAAUGCCUAGGAAUCUGCCUGGUCGUGGGGGAUAACGUCCGGAAACGGGCGCUAAUACCGCAUACGUCCUGAGGGAGAAAGUGGGGGAUCUUCGGACCUCACGCUAUCAGAUGAGCCUAGGUCGGAUUAGCUAGUUGGUGGGGUAAAGGCCUACCAAGGCGACGAUCCGUAACUGGUCUGAGAGGAUGAUCAGUCACACUGGAACUGAGACACGGUCCAGACUCCUACGGGAGGCAGCAGUGGGGAAUAUUGGACAAUGGGCGAAAGCCUGAUCCAGCCAUGCCGCGUGUGUGAAGAAGGUCUUCGGAUUGUAAAGCACUUUAAGUUGGGAGGAAGGGCAGUAAGUUAAUACCUUGCUGUUUUGACGGUACCAACAGAAUAAGCACCGGCUAACUUCGUG
rnacentral:rRNA from 1 species